rnacentral:rRNA from 1 species
CUGCUGCCUUCCGUAGGAGUUUGGGCCGUGUCUCAGUCCCAAUGUGGCCGUCCACCCUCUCAGGCCGGCUACCGAUCGUCGGCUUGGUGAGCCGUUACCCCACCAACUACCUAAUCGGACGCGGGCCCAUCUCACACUGCAAAAGCUUUCCACACCGAAUCAUGCGAUUCUGUGCGCCUAUGCGGUAUUAGCAGCCGUUUCCAGCUGUUGUCCCCCUGUGUGAGGCAGGUUGCCCACGCGUUACUCACCCGUCCCG